rnacentral:rRNA from 1 species
UACGUAGGGUGCGAGCGUUAAUCGGAAUUACUGGGCGUAAAGCGUACGCAGGCGGCUUUGCAAGACAGGUGUGAAAUCCCCGGGCCUAACCUGGGAACUGCAUUUGUGACUGCAUGGCUAGAGUUUGUCAGAGGGGGGUGGAAUUCCACGUGUAGCAGUGAAAUGCGUAGAUAUGUGGAGGAACACCGAUGGCGAAGGCAGCCCCCUGGGAUGUGACUGACGCUCAUGUACGAAAGCGUGGGGAGCAACAGG